CAGGGGGAGCUUGCUCCCCGCUGACGAGCGGCGGACGGGUGAGUAAUGCAUAGGAAACUGCCCAGUAGUGGGGGAUAGCCCGGGGAAACCCGGAUUAAUACCGCAUACGCCCUUCGGGGGAAAGCAGGGGAUCUUCGGACCUUGCGCUAUUGGAUGUGCCUAUGUCGGAUUAGCUAGUUGGUGGGGUAAGAGCCUACCAAGGCGACGAUCCGUAGCUGGUCUGAGAGGAUGAUCAGCCACAUCGGGACUGAGACACGGCCCGAACUCCUACGGGAGGCAGCAGUGGGGAAUAUUGGACAAUGGGGGCAACCCUGAUCCAGCCAUGCCGCGUGUGUGAAGAAGGCUUUCGGGUUGUAAAGCACUUUCAGUGAGGAGGAAAACCUUACGACUAAUACUCGUGAGGGCUUGACGUUACUCACAGAAGAAGCACCGGCUAACUCCGUGCCAGCAGCCGCGGUAAUACGGAGGGUGCAAGCGUUAAUCGGAAUUACUGGGCGUAAAGCGCGCGUAGGUGGUUUGAUAAGCGAGAUGUGAAAGCCCCGGGCUCAACCUGGGAACGGCAUUUCGAACUGUCAGGCUAGAGUAUGGUAGAGGAGUGUGGAAUUUCCUGUGUAGCGGUGAAAUGCGUAGAUAUAGGAAGGAACACCAGUGGCGAAGGCGGCACUCUGGACCAAUACUGACACUGAGGUGCGAAAGCGUGGGGAACAAACAGGAUUAGAUACCCUGGUAGUCCACGCUGUAAACGAU
rnacentral:rRNA from 1 species